CGGGGUGCAGCAGGCGCGAAAACUUUACAAUGCUGGCAACAGCGAUAAGGGGACCUCGGGUGCCAGGAUACAAUCUUGGCUGUCGCGAUGCCUAAAAAGCAUUGCAUAGCAAGGGCCGGGCAAGACCGGUGCCAGCCGCCGCGGUAACACCGGCGGCUCGAGUGGUAACCGCUAUUAUUGGGUCUAAAGGGUCUGUAGCCGGCCGGAUAAGUCUUUUGGGAAAUCCAGCUGCUCAACAGUUGGGCUUUCAGAAGAUACUGUUCGGCUCGAGACCGGGAGAGGUGAGAGGUACUUCAGGGGUAGGGGUGAAAUCUUGUAAUCCUUGAAGGACCACCAGUGGCGAAGGCGUCUCACCAGAACGGAUCUGACGGCAAGGGACGAAAGCUAGGGGCACGAACCGGAUUAGAUACCCGGGUAGUCCUAGCCGUAAACGAUACUCGCUAGGUGUCAGCCACGGUGCGACCGUGGUUGGUGCCGUAGGGAAG
rnacentral:rRNA from 1 species